GACGAACGCUGGCGGCGUGCCUAAUACAUGCAAGUUGAGCGCUGAAGGUUGGUACUUGUACCAACUGGAUGAGCAGCGAACGGGUGAGUAACGCGUGGGGAAUCUGCCUUUGAGCGGGGGACAACAUUUGGAAACGAAUGCUAAUACCGCAUAAAAACUUUAAACACAAGUUUUAAGUUUGAUAGAUGCAAUUGCAUCACUCAAAGAUGAUCCCGCGUUGUAUUAGCUAGUUGGUGAGGUAAAGGCUCACCAAGGCGAUGAUACAUAGCCGACCUGAGAGGGUGAUCGGCCAAAAUGGGACUGGGAAACGGCCCAAACUCCUACGGGAGGCAGCAGUAGGGAAUCUUCGGCAAUGGACGAAAGGCUGACCGAGCAACGCCGCGUGAGUGAAGAAGGGUUUCGGAUCGUAAAACUCUGUUGGUAGAGAAGAACGUGGGUGAGAGUGGAAAGCUCAUCAAGUGACGGUAACUACCCAGAAAGGGACGGCUAACCACGUG
rnacentral:rRNA from 1 species